UAGGGAAUCUUCCACAAUGGACGCAAGUCUGAUGGAGCAACGCCGCGUGAGUGAAGAAGGUUUUCGGACCGUAAAGCUCUGUUGUUGGUGAAGAAGGAUAGAGGUAGUAACUGGCCUUUAUUUGAACGGUAAUCAACCAGAAAGUCACGGCUAACUACGUGCCAGCAGCCGCGGUAAUACGUAGGUGGCAAGCGUUGUCCGGAUUAUUGGGCGUAAAGCGAGCGCAGGCGGAAGAAUAAGUCUGAUGUGAAAGCCCUCGGCUUAACCGAGGAAUUGCAUCGGAAACUGUUUUCUUGAGUGCAGAAGAGGAGAGUAGAACUCCAUGUGUAGCGGUGGAAUGCGUAGAUAUAUGGAAGAAUACCAGUGGCGAAGGCGGCUCUCUGGUCUGCAACUGACGCUGAGGCUCGAAAGCAUGGGUAGCGAACAGGAUUAG
rnacentral:rRNA from 1 species